GCUGCAGUGGCUGGACGAGGCCCGCACCUGUUUCCGCGUGCCCUGGAAGCACUUCGCGCGCAAGGACCUGAGCGAGGCCGACGCGCGCAUCUUCAAGGCCUGGGCUGUGGCCCGCGGCAGGUGGCCGCCUAGCAGCAGGGGAGGUGGCCCGCCCCCCGAGGCUGAGACUGCGGAGCGCGCCGGCUGGAAAACCAACUUCCGCUGCGCACUGCGCAGCACGCGUCGCUUCGUGAUGCUGCGGGAUAACUCGGGGGACCCGGCCGACCCGCACAAGGUGUACGCGCUCAGCCGGGAGCUGUGCUGGCGAGAAGGCCCAGGCACGGACCAGACUGAGGCAGAGGCCCCCGCAGCUGUCCCACCACCACAGGCCCAGGGCUCCCUGCUGGGGAGCUGUACGGGUGGGCAGUAGAGACGACCCCCAGCCCCGGGCCCCAGCCCGCGGCACUAACGACAGGCGAGGCCGCGGCCCCAGAGUCCCCGCACCAGGCAGAGCCGUACCUGUCACCCUCCCCAAGCGCCUGCACCGCGGUGCAAGAGCCCAGCCCAGGGGCGCUGGACGUGACCAUCAUGUACAAGGGCCGCACGGUGCUGCAGAAGGUGGUGGGACACCCGAGCUGCACGUUCCUAUACGGCCCCCCAGACCCAGCUGUCCGGGCCACAGACCCCCAGCAGGUAGCAUUCCCCAGCCCUGCCGAGCUCCCGGACCAGAAGCAGCUGCGCUACACGGAGGAACUGCUGCGGCACGUGGCCCCUGGGUUGCACCUGGAGCUUCGGGGGCCACAGCUGUGGGCCCGGCGCAUGGGCAAGUGCAAGGUGUACUGGGAGGUGGGCGGACCCCCAGGCUCCGCCAGCCCCUCCACCCCAGCCUGCCUGCUGCCUCGGAACUGUGACACCCCCAUCUUCGACUUCAGAGUCUUCUUCCAAGGUCACUGGUGGAAUUCCGGGCACGGCAGCGCCGUGGCUCCCCACGCUAUACCAUCUACCUGGGCUUCGGGCAGGACCUGUCAGCUGGGAGGCCCAAGGAGAAGAGCCUGGUCCUGGUGAAGCUGGAACCCUGGCUGUGCCGAGUGCACCUAGAGGGCACGCAGCGUGAGGGUGUGUCUUCCCUGGAUAGCAGCAGCCUCAGCCUCUGCCUGUCCAGCGCCAACAGCCUCUAUGACGACAUCGAGUGCUUCCUUAUGGAGCUGGAGCAGCCCGCCUAGAACCCAGUCUAAUGAGAACUCCAGAAAGCUGGAGCAGCCCACCUAGAGCUGGCCGCGGCCGCCCAGUCUAAUAAAAAGAACUCCAGAAC
rnacentral:lncRNA from 1 species